ACGAACGCUGGCGGCGUGCUUAACACAUGCAAGUCGAACGGUGAAGCGAGUGCUUGCACUCGUGGAUCAGUGGCGAACGGGUGAGUAACACGUGAGUAACCUGCCCAUCACUCUGGGAUAAGCACUGGAAACGGUGUCUAAUACUGGAUACGACCAACCCUUGCAUGGGGUGUUGGUGGGAAGAUUUAUCGGUGAUGGAUGGACUCGCGGCCUAUCAGCUUGUUGGCGGGGUAAUGGCCCACCAAGGCGACGACGGGUAGCCGGCCUGAGAGGGUGACCGGCCACACUGGGACUGAGACACGGCCCAGACUCCUACGGGAGGCAGCAGUGGGGAAUAUUGCACAAUGGGCGAAAGCCUGAUGCAGCGACGCCGCGUGAGGGAUGACGGCCUUCGGGUUGUAAACCUCUUUCAGCAGGGAAGAAGCGAAAGUGACGGUACCUGCAGAAGAAGCACCGGCUAACUACGUG
rnacentral:rRNA from 1 species